GGAGCACAGGUGUGGAGAACGAGUGGAGGACGCGAGAGAGAACGAGGAAGAAGCUGAAAAACAUGAUGAAUAUAACAAGCGACAGCUCGUCUCCCUCCGUCCUCAAGUUGUUCACAUCUAGUGCAGAACUUCUUUAAUUGUGCAAAAGAAGAAAAUGUUUGAGCACUUAGCUGCAGUGACUGCAGCUGCUGCGGCUCUGUUAACGCUGCUCUGGAUCGUUUCUUCUGACCUGAAGAAGUUUGUGAAUAAGAAAGAACAAGUCGGUCAUGAAGACGACCUGCACUUCCUCCUCCUCCUCUUCCUCGCAGUUGAUAUUCUGUCACUGCGACUCUGUAAUAGUUGAUAUUCAAAGGCCGCGUUCCUCAAAUGUUUUAAUUAGCUUCUCUCCCUUGGUGAGACGUAGUUUUCGUGGUCUGGCUUUGGGACUUCAAAAAAAAAAAAAAAAGAGGGGGGAUUUAAAACCUUUUCUUUGAGAUAUCGAACAUUAUAAAAGUCAAUAGCCUCAGAGAAACUGUGUUGGCCUGAAGGUUUCUCUCUCUCUGUCUAACUCCAGCUGCCUGUUCAGUCUUUGUGUUCAUCUCCUCUCUAUACUAUCUGCAUUUCUGUCUCUCUCUCUCUCUGUUCACCUGUCGCUCUGCCUCGCUCUCUCCUUCUCUCCUCAGUGAUAUGACUCACUGAGAGGGUCCGCAGACGUCACCCCUCUCCUCACUCUCCAGGCUAUUAACUGAAAAAGAGAAACUGGUGAGUGUGGGAGAGAGUGGGUUUUUAUUAUUAUUUAUUUAUUUAUUUAUUUAUUUAUUUUUCCCAGGCAGGUUCUGAGCUCCAUUUUUAAGUAGUUGCUGCAGAGCUGAUGCAUCGCCACAGUUCCCUGAUUUCAGAGAUUUCUGAUUUUACCUGCAGAGGUGCGCAGGCCUGAGAUCUGGACCCUGAUCCUUGAAUGUGACGAGUGUUUAACGACCUGAUCGCCUCAAAUCAGAGCUCCUUCGGUUGUCAGCUGGAUCUGUUGUGUAUCUGCUUCCAGGUCCAGUUUGUGUAUUCAUGGUGUGAGUCUGCUCUGCACGGUUUGUGCCUUUUCAUGCCCGCCAGGAGAAAUGUUAACGCUGCCACAUAUUGUGUGUUACAGCAUCUGUUCCAAAGCUGCACCGUGAAACACUGUGCAGGAAUUCAGUGUCAUAAACGUAACUGUUGUCCUGAAGCUGAUAAUAAAAUCUACAUUUCACUC